GAGUCACGCAUGUCUUUCGAAAGGCGAAUAAUGCGGGGGACUGAAUCGCCUCUUUGCAGCACACCACUCUAGGGCCGUCUUAUCGGAGGCUUUGGAGCACAUGCUGGUGGCACUAAGGCGUAUCUUAUACUGUGAUUAUUCUAGACGUAUCCACGGCUGAAUGUAGCGAGAUGCCGGUGCUUCAAAAAAAAAAAAAAAGUCGACGUGGCAAAGCUCCAUUGGUGAUUUAUUGUGGGACCCACAUGCUACAUCAGCUGGUACAGAUAGCUAGCUCCAACUCUAUACUUCAUGCGUGUUCCACUGCUGUGAUAGUCCAAAAGCUAUUGGCGAUGAUGUUUGAACAAAGAUAGUCGUAGCUUUCGG
rnacentral:lncRNA from 1 species